UAUCAAAAAAAAAAAUAUAAAUCUCAUUCGAAUAUUUUCAAGCUCACGAAAAGCACGUAACAAAAUUUUUAGUGAAAAUUAAAAAUACAAAUUCAAAAGUUAAUUCUAUAAAAAAGAAAUCACCCAUUCAUUUCCUUUAAGCAAUUUUGAAAUAUUUUAAAUUACAACAAAAUGUGUGAUAUGCCAAUUCCAUUUGGAAAUGAAUUUGGUGCCAGUGGUGGUGGAGGUGGAAUGCCUGGACCAUAUGAGAAAUCAUCAUCGAUGGACAAUGAUGUUUCGAAGUCACCAAAACUCGAACCAAUUCGUUCAUCAUCAACUCAUGUUCCACGAUACACCAAGCCAAAUAAUCCUUCUGUAUAUCAGCCACCAAGGAAAUCUUCUCAAAUUCCGGAAAUGGACCACAAUUUUUCUCCUUCAUAUUAUCCUGAUUCAAAUGUACAAGCUGGUCCUUCGGUACUCCCUGAACAAGGGUACGAGUAUUUCCCAGUAUCCGGUCCGAUUUCUCAAAGUAUGCAUCAAAUGUAUGGACAAGAGCCUUCAGGAAAUUAUUACCAGCAGCAAUUGCCAUCUUACCAAUAUCAACCAAUUCAGAUGAGACCUAUGACACAACAGUCUUUUCCGCCUUUAGGAAUGAGUGAUCCCAGAACUGCAAAUUACUCGUUUGAUAUGAAAAGGAAUUCCCAUACAACCUGUGAGAAAUGUGGAUCUUUUUGCUCUCCCAAUACUUUCAAUCAAAGCUUUAUGCCACCAAUGGAGAGUAUGGAACCCCAGGGAUUCAUGCCCGAAUUCACCCAACCUUCCGGUCGUCCUGAUAGAUUUUACUAUCCACCACAAAACAUGCCCCCAAAUCGAAAUCAACGAGAUCAUAUUCUUUUCUAAAGCUUAUCAAGCCCCUCAACAACAACAGCAAUAAAAACGUUUUCAACAAAUAUGAACUUCGAGCAAGUCGUUUGUAUACAAAUUGUGAUUGUUUUCGAAGAAAUGGUCUCCAAGACACUUGUUCUCAUUCAAUAAGUCGCCAAGGAGAAUCUGGUGAUGGAUUUCACCAAGGACAACAAGAGCAACCUUUCCAGAACUACAUGCCUCCAACGUCAUAUCCUGGUGAAUCAAAUUCAAUGGCAAUGAUGGGUUUUCCAAAUCAAGGCUAUGAAGCAUCAGGUUUUGAAAAUGGUCUCGCCGGACAACAAUCAUCUAAUUUUUCGAAUUAUAACUCGAUGCCAAUGAAUGGUUAUCAGAAUAGUUAUCAAAAUACUAUGCAAAUGCCAAUUCAGAUGCCUAUGGGUAUUCAAGCUCCCCCUUCGUCUUAUUCUUCAGGACCUGGUAACUUAAUGCAAAAUGCUCAGAACUAUAAUAUGGGAAACCAAAGCAACUAUCCAUGCUACAUGUAGACAAGAUUGGGUUCUUGAAGAUUAGACCGAAAAAAGAUUUAAGUCUUAAAAUGUUUGAAUUUUAGAUGUUGAGAAAUAAAGAGACAAUUAUUGUUGUUGUUGUUAAAAAUAUAA